AUUAGAAAGAGAAUAAAAACAAUGCAAUAAAUAUUGAAAAUAGAAUUUUGAUGAAAAUUAAGUAGAAUUUCACAAUUUUAAUUUUCAUGCUUUUUUUUUGCAUAUUAAUUAGACUUAAUUUCAAAACAUUGUCAGCACUCGAGAUUUCCAUCACUUGGUCAUUCGUCAGUUUAACUCAGUAUGCCGAAUUUGAGAUUUUUAGAGAAUUUGUACUCAUGAAGAGCAUAUGAUGGGCCAGUUCUGAAUCCCAGUCAGUAGAAACGAGAUGAUCAAGUGAUGAACUAAACAGCAUCCUGUAGUAAGGGAUUAGAUGCAGUUAUACUCUACUAGCCGAAUGGGUGAAUUUCUUUUCUUAGGACAAUAUCUGGAAGACCAAAAGAAGCCUGUUGGGCUUAACACUGCAGAGAUACUCUACUGAAAGUCAAAUAAGGUCCGGAAUGGACUUUAUUCAGCUUGGACACUUCCUACAUUACUCAGUAUUCUGCCAUCAUUGUCUAUUUCACUUACCUUGUGGCAUACAUCACCAUAUUUCUCACAGGUACUUAAGUCAAUGCAAAAACAUUGAUUUAGGUACCAGUGAGAAGUAUGUUGAUUCUGCCACAGAUGUAUCCCAGACACUAUGAACAUGCUGGCAUGGCUGCAAAACAGGUAAAAACAUAUAAAUGUAGUGCCAAAUUAAAAAAAAAAAACACUGCUUAUUAAUACCUGAGUUGUGAAAAAGGAAAUAUAUAAUCAGUAUUAAACAGCAGUGAGAGUUUUUAAUCAGUAAACAAGAAUUUUUUCAUCUAAUAGUAGCCAAUAUCAGUGAUAUAAAGUUUAACAAAAAAUUACAGCAAUAAAUAGUAUUACAUAUUCCAGAAGUGCAAAGAAUAGUGAAGCAAAUACAGGAUUUUAAAAAUUCAAAUCCUGAAUAAUGUGCACAAGCAUUAUAUUAAGAAUUAAGCAACAGCUAAGUAUGAAAAUUAUGAUUUAUAAUUACAUUAAAAUAAUUACAAUAUUAAAAGUACAUGUAAAGGAGGAGGAGGCAAACAGAAACAGAAGGUAUUCAUGGAUCUGUAUUCAUGGGUUUAGCCUUGGAAAAUGGAAAGGAAGUGAGAAGAUGAAAGAGAGUAAGAGGAAAGGUAAAAGGAUCCUAUCAGAAGGAGUGUGAUAGAUCAUUAGGGAAGUAUACAGUAUUUGCCAUUUAUUAAUUUAUUUAAACAGCUUACAAAUUAUAGAAUUACAGUGUGUCAUUAACAGAAAUUUUAACAAUAAAAUAA
rnacentral:lncRNA from 1 species